GCACUGCUGAGGUGCACUCCUUGGUAUUUGGGGACAAGCUGGCACACCAGCAGCAUCGCUUCCUUUAGUUUCAGGAACAGGGGACAAUUAGUCUCAGCAUCUGGUCUGAAGAUGGGAUGGGCACCAGGACGUCGGCACCUGACACCUCCCACAGGCUCCAGUGAGGAGCUGCAAAGUUAACGCGCGUGCAAGCAGAACAGGAACUGCUCGAACCGGGCUUAACAGCAAGAAUCAGGCAGAGAAAAAAAGAAGAAAAAGCAUGCUUUCCCCUUACCUAUCGCCUCUGUUAGAAGCCUGGACAGUGUCUUUAGAAUGCCCGGGCGUCUGGAGCCACAGGGCACAGGACUUUCAGCACAUGCACACAGAGCCCAGCACAAGCCAUCUUCUCCUGCCUCCUAGCACCACGCGAGCUUCCAGCAGCUCCGCUCUCCAGCUGCAAACAUCUCAUUAGACUAAUGCAUUCAGCACAGGCAGAAAACUCGAUUUACCAUAGCUACAGCAAUGAAUUUCCAUUACGAUGACAGCUUCAACCACAUCAUGUCCGGAAAACCAGCCAACCACUGCCUUUUAAAGAACGCACACAUUUUACACACAGAAAACGGGGGGCCGUGUGUGGUGUUCCCUUUCUCUUUGCAGCUAAGCGGAGAACAAAUUGCCAUGUCUGUGCAUGUCAGAACUCCGCGAGCCGAAAGGUGGAGGCAUCCGGACGUUUUGCAGGCAGCGGAACCCUGCGCAGCGGUGCGGCAGACCCCAAGACUGCCAGCACCCAAAAAGCAGAGUGGUUGGACAAAAUUCCUCACACCUGAAGCAGGCAACUGAAAUAAGGUGCAAUAACCAUGGCCAGAACUGGAGCAUCAGCACAGCUUGCUGCAGCUAAGGAACAGAGUUCCCUUCACACCUCUAGGCUAAGGGGCCUCACUCAAAUGGUCACUUUGCACUUGUUUAUGCAGCAUGGACUUCCCAUGGACCAUGUCACAGAAUCACAGAAUCACCAAGGUUGGAAAAGACCUUCAAGAUCAUCCAGUCCAACCAUCCACCUCUCACCAAUAGUAUUCACUAAACAUGUUCCCCAACACAAAAUCCAAACAUAAAUGUCUGCUGGCCCAGUGCUAGCAGUGGUAUUCAAAUCCUGAUGCAGCUCCAAGAGCAGCACAAGGAGGUCAUGUAUCUAUCUGCUGCUUUGCUGAUGCUACCCACAUGCCGAGGUUUCCAAAUCUGUGCCCACCAGAAUGGAUGCACAUUGCACAGCACAGCACAGGGUCUUUGCUCAGCUCUGAGCUCAGAAGAUGUUGGUCAGAGCAUCUUGCUCCAGAAACACCAAGGUGAUGGCAAUUGCUGCAUUGCGCUCUGUGUGAAGAUCAUGGAAGAGUCAGGAUUAUUUUUUGCGUGACUUUCCAUUGCUAAUUACAUUAGCCAUGCCUGACGAGGAUAAGGCACUGAAAGGCUGAAUUAGAAACUCUUCACUGCUUAUGCACCAGAGUUGUUGUUUGUGAGGCAAUACACCGAAACAUCAGCUUCUUAUUGUGAGAGCAGUAAUGCACAGAUAGAACCAACUCAUCUGGGGAGCACUGAACGAAGGGAAAUAAGGUUCAAGAAGAAGGCACGGUCCCCUCAUUACAAGAGCUCCCACCACACACCUGCAGCGCCCCAUGGCCCACACGCUGCUUCUGCAGGGAAGCAGUCAGCCUUAGAACCAUUAAGGCUGGAGAAGACCACUAAGAUCAUCUAGUCCAGCCAUCAGCCCAUCACCACCGUGCUCAUUAAACCUUCUACCACCAUGGAAAACAAAGCGUCUUAAAUACUUUUCCUAAAAGAG
rnacentral:lncRNA from 1 species